GAACUGGGAUGAACUAGCAUGCGAGUCAUUGUAGCAAUACAAGGCAGACGGCUCAGUAACGCGUAGUCAACCUAACCUAUGGACGGGAAUAAUCUCGGGAAACUGAGAAUAAUGCCCGAUAGAACACUAUAUCUGGAAUGGUUUGUGUUCCAAAUGAUUUAUCGCCAUAGGAUGGGACUGCGGCCUAUCAGUUUGUUGGUGAGGUAAUGGCCCACCAAGACUAUUACAGGUACGGGCUCUGAGAGGAGUAGCCCGGAGAUGGGUACUGAGACACGGACCCAGGCCCUAUGGGGCGCAGCAGGCGAGAAAACUUUGCAAUGUGCGAAAGCACGACAAGGUUAAUCCGAGUGGUUUCUGCUAAAGGAACCUUUUGUCGGUCCUAGAAACACCGAUGAAUAAGGGGUGGGCAAGUUCUGGUGUCAGCCGCCGCGGUAAAACCAGCACCUCAAGUGGUCAGGAUGAUUAUUGGGCCUAAAGCAUCCGUAGCCGGCUCUGUAAGUUUUCGGUUAAAUCUGUACGCUUAACGUACAGGCUGCCGGGAAUACUGCAUAGCUAGGGAGUGGGAGAGGUAGACGGUACUCGGUAGGAAGGGGUAAAAUCCUUUGAUCUAUUGAUGACCACCUGUGGCGAAGGCGGUCUACCAGAACACGUCCGACGGUGAGGGAUAAAAGCUGGGGGAGCAAACCGGAUUAGAUACCCGGGUAGUCCCAGCUGUAAACUAUGCAAACUCAGUGAUGCAUUGGCUUGUGGCCAAUGCAGUGCUGCAGGGAAGCCGUUAAGUUUGCCGCCUGGGAAGUACGUACGCAAGUAUGAAACUUAAAGGAAUUGGCGGGGGAGCACCACAAGGGGUGAAGCCUGCGGUUCAAUUGGAGUCAACGCCGGG
rnacentral:rRNA from 1 species